rnacentral:rRNA from 1 species
UACGUAGGGGGCGAGCGUUGUCCGGAUUUAUUGGGCGUAAAGAGCGCGUAGGCGGCUCGCCAAGUCGUGCGUGAAAUACCCCGGCUCAACCGGGGGGAGUCGUGCGAUACUGGUGGGCUCGAGGCCGGUAGGGGGAAGCGGAAUUCCCGGUGUAGUGGUGGAAUGCGUAGAUAUCGGGAGGAACACCAGUGGCGAAGGCGGCUUCCUGGACCGGUCCUGACGCUGAGGCGCGAAAGCGUGGGGAGCGAACUGA